rnacentral:rRNA from 2 species
AUUCUUCGGAUGAAAUCAGAUAUGACUGAGUGGCGGACGGGUGAGUAACGCGUGAGGAACCUGCCCUUCGGAGGGGGAUAGCGUCUGGAAACGGACGGUAAUACCGCAUAAUGUAUUUUGAUGACAUCAUCGAAAUACCAAAGCUUUUGCGCCGAAGGAUGGCCUCGCGUCUGAUUAGAUAGUUGGUGGGGUAACGGCCUACCAAGUCGACGAUCAGUAGCCGGACUGAGAGGUUGAACGGCCACAUUGGGACUGAGACACGGCCCAGACUCC